CUUCGUUUUAUUUUUUAAGUGACACUCUUGGCCCUCCAUAACUUUUAUGGUUGUUAAAAUCAAUUAACCCAUGUCUGUACAUUUUAGGCUACUCCGUAAAAACAAAUACAUUUUAAACACGUUUUGAGAAGUUUGUGCCAUAUUAUUGCAGUAUAGUGUUAAAAACUCGGCAUAAAAAUCGAGUUAACUAGCUCUUUCUUUUCAAUCUAGAUCUCGGUAACAAACAUUGCUUGAAUGAUUCGUGAGGGAACGAGUCGGUGAUCCAGUCGCAGUCGAACGAUUAAGAGAGUAUAAGGCUGUCUCUUUCUCAAAGGUAGACUUCAUUUAGUUUAACUAUAAAACAUACCGCCAUUAAAAUAAAUAUGUUUUAAGGAUUACAUAAAGUAACCGCAUCCUACUCAUCGGUUUAUCGAGGGUGGAGAACGUGUUUCGGGAAGCUCGCGGAAUUGGUUGUUUAUCGGGCGUCACGGCACACUUUGGCACAUCUUACACUGAUUUAAAUGUCGUAAAACUGUUACUCUGGCGCUCAUCUGGCCUUAUUCUUCCUGUAAACUGAGAGUACACUCCUCCUUCGCCAUGUGUUACCUGACAGGAGUUAGUUUCACCGUGUGUUGUGCUCAGUGGGUGUGUCUCUUUUCUGCUUGGGAACUGCUUUAUUCUUUCUUUCUCAAUGCAUUCAUCUGUCUUAAGCCGUCUCUGUCGCCAUCUUUUCCUCAUUUGAACACAGGUAAACCCUACAGCUUUGCAUUCCAGUCAUAGUUCUGAAUGUAUGUUUGCCAGUUUUCACGUGGAAAACGAGCUUCAGCAUGUCUGCUCCUGCCAGUGAUGAUGGUGCUGUGUCUCGCCAUCUAAUGGCCUGUGCUGAUAUUAUAUGCAAAUAUGGUAGAUGUGUGCUGAUGGAUGGGAAGCCCACCUGUGAGUGUAUGCUGGGCUACAUCGGAGACACCUGUAAUGAAACAAUUAAUAACUCUCUGUCUGUGCCGCUCACCCUCGGUUUCCUGGCUUCCAUCAUUGGCUUUAUCAUCAUGUUCUUUGGGAUGGCUUUUUUCCGGCAAAGGCAAAAGGCGAAGAAGAGAGAAAAGGCAGCUGAAGAAGCCCUGUUAAGAAACGGAGCACAUCUUUAA
rnacentral:lncRNA from 1 species